rnacentral:tRNA from 1 species
UACUUCAUGGCGUAGUGGUCACUGCGCUCGCCUUGCACGCGGGAGACCCGGGUUCGAUUUCCGGCGGGGUCA